rnacentral:lncRNA from 1 species
GAACAAUGUGGGUAUCCUUAUUGUUAGCUGCUGCUUUGAUUUAUUUUGUUGUAAAGGUGAAGAUGUAAUUUCCCUGUCACACAAUAGGGGCAGCAUCUGCUAUAAAGUAGUGUUCAUUUUAGUCCAAGUACAUAUUUAUUCUGGCUUUACAGGCAAAGUGGGCAAGUGUUAGAGGUUAAAAGUUUUGUUUCUUCCCCAGGAUGACUUCUCAUGGAGAUUGGUGUUUGGCUCCAGUCUCCCCACGCCACCCUCAUCUUAUGCUGCACUGAACAGAUCUAGUGUUAGAUAAAAAGCCUUGGAGAUUCAACUGUGUACCCUCAAACAAAGGCAAUGCUAUCCGUCCAAAGUCCUGCAAGCCUGGAGGACCAUCUGAUGAUGAGAAAAAACUUCAGUCUACAUGGCCCCUUGAGCCUUUGACAUUUUCUGCUGCAUUCCUGCUAUGACUGACCACAAGGAUGUCCAUUACACCAAUGGGUUUUGUAAUGUGGAUGCUUAUCCUAGAUAUGGCACUAAGCCCACUUCACUCAUCUCUCAAAAAGCUCACCUGGAGGUUCAGUACCACUCCACAGAGGGACAGAAUUGUCUAUAUUCAGCUUGCCUGGACUAAUUGUACCCUGAUAGUAGGAAAACUUGCACCACAUCAGUGCCGGCUGUUUCCUCAAACUGGGGAGGAGAGGAAAUGGACACUUUGCUUCCCUGGAGUCAGCCCAUCCUGUUGUCUGUUCUGGCUUCAGUCUCUGCCUUUAUGAGCCUCCCUAUAAACUAUUACCUUACCUGGCCAGCAUGGUAUACUCUCUAGAUUGGGUAGUAUGUGGAAUUAAUUUUCUUUCUGUCUAAUCAAAAUGUAGAAUAUGCAUACCUCAUUAAUAAAACUUGGCUAUGAAUCCA